AGAGUUUGAUCCUGGCUCAGGAUGAACGCUGGCGGCGUGCCUAAUACAUGCAAGUCGAGCGAACGGACGAGAAGCUUGCUUCUCUGAUGUUAGCGGCGGACGGGUGAGUAACACGUGGAUAACCUACCUAUAAGACUGGGAUAACUUCGGGAAACCGGAGCUAAUACCGGAUAAUAUUUUGAACCGCAUGGUUCAAAAGUAAAAGACGGUCUUGCUGUCACUUAUAGAUGGAUCCGCGCUGCAUUAGCUAGUUGGUAAGGUAACGGCUUACCAAGGCAACGAUGCAUAGCCGACCUGAGAGGGUGAUCGGCCACACUGGAACUGAGACACGGUCCAGACUCCUACGGGAGGCAGCAGUAGGGAAUCUUCCGCAAUGGGCGAAAGCCUGACGGAGCAACGCCGCGUGAGUGAUGAAGGUCUUCGGAUCGUAAAACUCUGUUAUUAGGGAAGAACAUAUGUGUAAGUAACUGUGCACAUCUUGACGGUACCUAAUCAGAAAGCCACGGCUAACUACGUGCCAGCAGCCGCGGUAAUACGUAGGUGGCAAGCGUUAUCCGGAAUUAUUGGGCGUAAAGCGCGCGUAGGCGGUUUUUUAAGUCUGAUGUGAAAGCCCACGGCUCAACCGUGGAGGGUCAUUGGAAACUGGAAAACUUGAGUGCAGAAGAGGAAAGUGGAAUUCCAUGUGUAGCGGUGAAAUGCGCAGAGAUAUGGAGGAACACCAGUGGCGAAGGCGACUUUCUGGUCUGUAACUGACGCUGAUGUGCGAAAGCGUGGGGAUCAAACAGGAUUAGAUACCCUGGUAGUCCACGCCGUAAACGAUGAGUGCUAAGUGUUAGGGGGUUUCCGCCCCUUAGUGCUGCAGCUAACGCAUUAAGCACUCCGCCUGGGGAGUACGACCGCAAGGUUGAAACUCAAAGGAAUUGACGGGGACCCGCACAAGCGGUGGAGCAUGUGGUUUAAUUCGAAGCAACGCGAAGAACCUUACCAAAUCUUGACAUCCUUUGACAACUCUAGAGAUAGAGCCUUCCCCUUCGGGGGACAAAGUGACAGGUGGUGCAUGGUUGUCGUCAGCUCGUGUCGUGAGAUGUUGGGUUAAGUCCCGCAACGAGCGCAACCCUUAAGCUUAGUUGCCAUCAUUAAGUUGGGCACUCUAAGUUGACUGCCGGUGACAAACCGGAGGAAGGUGGGGAUGACGUCAAAUCAUCAUGCCCCUUAUGAUUUGGGCUACACACGUGCUACAAUGGACAAUACAAAGGGCAGCGAAACCGCGAGGUCAAGCAAAUCCCAUAAAGUUGUUCUCAGUUCGGAUUGUAGUCUGCAACUCGACUACAUGAAGCUGGAAUCGCUAGUAAUCGUAGAUCAGCAUGCUACGGUGAAUACGUUCCCGGGUCUUGUACACACCGCCCGUCACACCACGAGAGUUUGUAACACCCGAAGCCGGUGGAGUAACCUUUUAGGAACUAGCCGUCGAAGGUGGGACAAAUGAUUGGGGUGAAGUCGUAACAAGGUAGCCGUAUCGGAAGGUGCGGCUGGAUCACCU
rnacentral:rRNA from 6 species